AACAGGAUUAGAUACCCUGGUAGUCCACGCCGUAAACGAUGUCGACUUGGAGGCUGUUCCCUUGAGGAGUGGCUUCCGGAGCUAACGCGUUAAGUCGACCGCCUGGGGAGUACGGCCGCAAGGUUAAAACUCAAAUGAAUUGACGGGGGCCCGCACAAGCGGUGGAGCAUGUGGUUUAAUUCGAUGCAACGCGAAGAACCUUACCUACUCUUGACAUCCAGAGAAUUUAGCAGAGAUGCUUUAGUGCCUUCGGGAACUCUGAGACAGGUGCUGCAUGGCUGUCGUCAGCUCGUGUUGUGAAAUGUUGGGUUAAGUCCCGCAACGAGCGCAACCCUUAUCCUUUGUUGCCAGCGCGUAAUGGCGGGAACUCAAAGGAGACUGCCGGUGAUAAACCGGAGGAAGGUGGGGAUGACGUCAAGUCAUCAUGGCCCUUACGAGUAGGGCUACACACGUGCUACAAUGGCGCAUACAAAGAGAAGCGACCUCGCGAGAGCAAGCGGACCUCAUAAAGUGCGUCGUAGUCCGGAUUGGAGUUUGCAACUCGACUCCAUGAAGUCGGAAUCGCUAGUAAUCGUAAAUCAGAAUGUUACGGUGAAUACGUUCCCGGGCCUUGUACACACCGCCCGUCACACCAUGGGAGUGGGUUGCAAAAGAAGUAGAUAGCUUAACCUUCGGGAGGGCGUUUACCACUUUGUGAUUCAUGACUGGGGUGAAGUCGUAACAAGGUAACCGUAGGGGAACCUGCGGCUGGAUCACCUCCUU
rnacentral:rRNA from 1 species